GGGCAGAGCCCGAUGGAGAUGCUUGAUCACCUCUCUCGAGGAGAUGCUUGCCUACUCGGUUGCUCGGGGAGAGUCUCUUGUUCGAGAUGCUUCUUCCCAAGUUCGAAGAGAGACUCUCCCUCUUCGAAAGAGCUCCUUGGCCUUUCGAUUUUCCCCGUCGUUGCAAAGGGAGAACGAAGGAGGGCCUGUCUCCUCAUCGAAGGAAGGUAUCUUUCGUUUUGAUGUCUCCACUUCGCGUAGAUCUGAUCGAUGUUCCUGUUUGCGCUGCUGUUGAAGACGGAAUAUCUCGCUUCGACAUUUUCACAGGCUACAGCUCGAUUUCUGAAGGAGGUCACCUCGCGUAGAUCUGAUCGAUGGCCCUGUUUGCUCUAGGGUUUGUUUUUUGGUGAUGAUCUGUGGGGUUUGCGGCACGGGAAGGUCUCAUCGCCUCGGUGUCGGUCUCCACCACUGAUAAGGAGGUCACCUCUUCCCAGGUCCCCAAGACAGAAAACGAUCCUCUAGACAAGGAAAUAGGAGUCAUAGUCCUUAUAGAAGUUACAGUCCUGCAUAUCGAAGCCGAAGGAGCUUGAGUAGGGAUCGUGACCUCUCCAUUAAUUGAGUGGAUAACGGAAAAUACCAUGAGGAUUCUGCAUCUCAAAGUCCUCCAUAUAGGACCCGUGAGAAAAUGUCUCCUGUUCAUCAUACCCACGAGAGAGAUGAGGUUGAUCAGUUUGAUCAGGCAUGCAAUGGGCAUCCAAUUUAUCAAAGGAAGGCCCAUCAGAAAAUGUCUGCAUUGUCACCAUCACCAGAAAUGUCACGAAGUUCAUCAGAAACUUCACCAAAUCCACGGAGAAUGAAUCCCAGCGAAGAUAGGAUGUCUAAUGCAUCUGACAGUCCUGUCAAGCAACUAAGAGAUCAUAUUAUUCAUCAUGACAAUUCAGGAGCAAGUGAGGAGGAACUUAUUCUCUACCGGGAUCAUGGGAAUACCAUUUUUGAUUCCUCACGAAAAAUAUCAAGGCAUCAUCCAUAAGUGAUGGUCUGAAAAAAACUCUUACAAAGGCUCUUAAGCAAGAAAGAAUAUUCCCCUGAAAGAUUAGCUAGCUGUGGUUCUGUUGAAGGUUGGAGUCGUCCAGAUGACAUGCUGCCAAGGAAAAAAGACUGACAGAAAAAGUGAGAAAGCUUCAGUCAGGAACGAUCAUUCUGAAAGCCCUAUUCAGCGGACAUCACCAAUGUUGGAAGAAGUUGUAUAUGGGUUAGGGAGGCUAAGGGGAGAAGGCUAUAUAAUCGAGCAUGCCCAGGACAAAAAACCAUCUGUUUAUGAACAUGAAAAGAUUCUUCUUUAUAUGAAGAGUUACAGAGACGAUGUCUCAGAGAAGGUCGAAAAGCUUAUGAAAAGAAGCAUUCUCAUUUGAGCAAUAUCGAGGGAAGUGACCGAGUUUACAAAAUAGAAGUUCAUAAAUCAUGGAAAAAGGUUGGUAGGAAAAGCCGAGCUGGUGUUUAUGGUUCUGAUUCUGAGGAAAAUAAGAGGCACGGAUCCAAAUACAUGGAAAGGUGAAAGCAUAAGAGAGUGGAUAGGAAUUUCCUGAAAACUGGUGGCAGCUGAAAACUGGAAAAAUGAGGAUUUCCUGAGCUAUUCUGUUGAUGUGCAACUUUGUGCAGACCUUGCUGCUAGAUUUUCUGGUAGUAUUUGCUUUCCCUUAGAUGGGAAUUUGAUUUAAUUUUUUUGUAGUUCUUAACUGGGUCGAUAUGAAACCAUCUUGUUGUUUAUCACAAUGGCUUCUUAAAGCUUUCAGUGGCAUUAAUUUAUAUGUUAUGUUAUAUGGAUUUAUGUACUGUUGCUGGUAAAACAAUAAUGCCCCAUUUAACAUGGUCAAUAAAAUCUUAUUGCCUGAAUGUAGAACAAUAAAACCUAAAGGUCUUGGCACUUUGUUUAAAAUGAAGUUUAUACUAAAUUGGCUUUGUGGUUGAUUGAUAGAUGAGUAUACUGUCAACUAGAUGACUUGGUUGAGCAGGGCCUUGUGCGGACCACUUAUUGAACAUCAAUUUAGGUUUAGUAUCAUACAUACUUCUCGGACUUCUAGAAGGAAAGACUCCAAACUCUAUUGGCUAAAACUGUGUCUAAAUACUUGUCUCUUUAUAUUGUAUGAUGAUUUAGCCUCUUUAUGGUGGCAAUAUGAGAGCUGUUCUGCGGACUUUGUUUUUAAAAUUCAUCAAGGUGAUAUAGGCACCCGACUCAUACUGUCUUGAUGUUGAUGUCAGCUGUCAAGUGUCUCUGGAUGGCGUCACCAUGUGGCGGUGCUUAGUUUUUA